CAUUUUGUUUAUUAUUAAACUUACUGUAUGUCGAGGGAUUUGAUGGUGAAUUAGGAGAAACAGAAUUUGUGGAAGCUACAAGUAAGCACAUUAUACAUUUUGUUUAUUAUUAAACUUACUGUAUGUCGAGGGAUUUGAUGGUGAAUUAGGAGAAACAGAAUUUGUGGAAGCUACAAGGGUAAAAGUUCAAGUUAACACACAGAGAGAGGGCUGCACAACCAAAGGAUAGGUCUGAACUGAAACCUCAUCUACUUCAUUGACUCACCGCGCCUCCCAAACAAAGUUUCUAAUGUUACAGAUGGAAGAGAAAGCUCUGAUCAUUCUUUUAGAGGGUGAAGAUAUUUAUAUCGACUACUACCUUAGAAGGUGGAGAUAUCUAUAUCGACUACUACCUUAGAAGGUGGAGAUAUCUAUAUCGACUACUACCUUAGAAGGUGGAGAUAUCUAUAUCGACUACUACUUUAGAAGGUGGAGAUAUUUAUAUCGACUACUACUUUAGAAGGUGGGGAUAUUUAUAUCGACUACUACUUUAGAAGGUGGAGAUAUUUAUAUCGACUACUACUUCAGAAGGUGGAGAUAUCUAUAUCGACUACUACUUUAGAAGGUGGAGAUAUCUAUAUCGACUACUACUUUAGAAGGUGGAGAUAUCUAUAUCGACUACUACUUUAGAAGGUGGAGAUAUCUAUAUCGACUACUACUUUAUAUAGAUAUCUCCA